UGUUCGUUAUUUAGGGCGCAUGGUGGAUGCCUUGGCAUGCUGAGCCGAUGAAGGACGUGAAAGGCUGCGUUAAGCCUCGGGGAGUUGUCAAUUGAGCGUUGAUCCGAGGAUGUCCGAAUGGGGAAACCUGGCACCUGUUAUGGGGUGUUACCCUUCAGUGAAUUCAUAGCUGUUGUGGGGGUUACGCGGGGAAGUGAAACAUCUCAGUACCCGUAGGAGAAGAAAAUAAUAAUGAUUCUGCUAGUAGUGGCGAACGAACGUGGAUGAGGCUAAACCGUGUGCAUGUGAUACCUGGUAGGGGUUGUGUGUGCGGUGUUGUGGGCCCUGAUGAGGAUGGCUACUGACGUCCUGCCCGCGCAUUGUUGUUAGGUGAAGUGGUGUGGAAACGCCUGCCGUAGAAGGUGAUAGUCCUGUAGCUGAAGAUGAUGGUGUGUGGGUUGUUGGGUUGCCCGAGUAGCAGCGGGCUCGUGGAAUCUGCUGUGAAUCUGCCGGGACCACCCGGUAAGCCUAAAUACUCAGUGUGACCGAUAGUGGAUAGUACCGUGAGGGAAUGGUGAAAAGUACCCCGGGAGGGGAGUGAAAUAGUUCCUGAAACCAUGUGCUUACAAUCCGUCAGAGCACUUUUUGUGUGUGAUGGCGUGCCUUUUGAAGAAUGAGCCUGCGAGUCAGCGGCAUGUCGCGAGGUUAACCCGUGUGGGGUAGCCGUAGGGAAACCGAAUCCUAAUGGGGUGUUUAGUGGCAUGUCCUGGACCCGAAGCGGGGUGAUCUACCCAUGGCCAGUGUGAAGCAGCAGUAAGAUGCUGUGGAGGCGCGAACCCACGUAGGUUGAAAACUGCGGGGAUGAGCUGUGGGUAGGGGUGAAAGGCCAAUCAAACUCCGUGAUAGCUGGUUCUCCCCGAAAUGCAUUUAGGUGCAGCGUCGCAUUAGCUUGGUGGAGGUA
rnacentral:rRNA from 1 species